GAAUGGUUCCACACCCAAAAGCAUAACAACCAUGUUUGUCAUGUGCCAGAGGAUGGGGCUGCGGCCGAUCAGGCCGUUGGCGAGGUAACGGCUCACCAAACCUUUGACCGGUACGGGCCAUGAGAGUGGUAGCCCGGAGAUGGACACUGAGAUAGGGGUCCAGGCCCUACGGGGCGCAGCAGGCGCGAAAACUCCACACUGUACGUAAGUACGAUGGGGUUACCUCGAGUGUAGUCUGUAAAAGAUUGCUUUUCCAUAGAGUAAUAUCCUGUGGGAAUAAGAGGGGGGCAAGACUGGUGUCAGCCGCCGCGGUAACACCAGCCCCUCGAGUGGUAGGGACUUUUAUUUGGCCUAAAGCGUUCGUAGCCGUCUGUAACCGUUGCCCGUUAAAUCCAGCGUCUCAAGCGUUGGACUGCGGGCGAUACCUUACAGAUUGAGGGUGGGAUAGGUAAGCGGUAUUUCUGGGGUAGGGGCGAAAUCCUUUGAUCCCAGGAGGACCACCAGUGGCGAAGGCUGCUUACUAGAACACGCCUGACGGUCAGGAACGAAAGCUGGGGUAGCGAACCGGAUUAGAUACCCGGGUAGUCCCAGCUGUAAACGAUGCGCGCUAGGUGUUGGGUCGGCCAUGCGCCGCCCCAGUGCCGCAGGGAGGCCGUUAAGCGCGCCGCCUGGGGAGUACGGCCGCAAGGCUGAAACUUAAAGGAAUUGGCGGGGGAGCACCACCAGGCGUGAAGCUUGCGGUUUAAUUGGAUUCAACGCCGGG
rnacentral:rRNA from 1 species